ACCUGGCUGGCUCAGUUGGUAGAGCACAAGUCUCCUGAUCUUGGGAUCAGGAGUUGGAGUCCCGUGUUAGGGG
rnacentral:tRNA from 1 species